rnacentral:misc_RNA from 1 species
UCCGUGUUAACCACGGCAGUCUCCUUAGAGUGCCCAACUUAAUGCUGGCAACUAAGAACAAGGGUUGCGCUCGUUGCGGGACUUAACCCAACAUGUCACCACACGAGCUGACGACAGCCAUGCAGCACCUGUCUCCCAGUAGUAUUGCUACUAAAGCUAUAUCUCUAUAGCGGUCCGGGGAUGUCAAACCCAGGUAAGGUUUUUCGCGUUGCUUCGAAUUAAACCACAUGAUCCACCGCUUGUGCGGGCCCCCGUCAAUUCCUUUGAGUUUUAGUCUUGCGACCGUACUUCCCAGGCGGGGUACUUAUUGCGUUAGCUCCGACUCGGCGGGGGUCAAGUCCCUCCAAGUCUAGUACCCAUCGUUUACAGCGUGGACUAC